rnacentral:rRNA from 1 species
AACGAACGCUGGCGGCAGGCCUAACACAUGCAAGUCGAACGCCCCGCAAGGGGAGUGGCAGACGGGUGAGUAACACGUGGGAACCUUCCCAACAGUACGGAAUAGCCCAGGGAAACUUGGAGUAAUACCGUAUAUUCCCGUGAGGGGAAAGAUUUAUCGCUGUUGGAUGGGCCCGCGUCGGAUUAGCUAGUUGGUGGGGUAAUGGCCCACCAAGGCGACGAUCCGUAGCUGGUUUGAGAGAAUGACCAGCCACACUGGGACUGAGACACGGCCCAGGCUCCUACGGGAGGCAGCAGUGGGGAAUCUUGGACAAUGGGCGCAAGCCUGAUCCAGCCAUGCCGCGUGAGUGACGAAGGCCUUAGGGUUGUAAAGCUCUUUUGCCGGGGACGAUAAUGACGGUACCCGGAGAAUAAGUCCCGGCUAACUUCGUGCCAGCCGCCGCCGUAAGAC